rnacentral:rRNA from 1 species
CUACGGGCCGCUGCAGUGAGGAAUAUUGCACAAUGGGGGAAACCCUGAUGCAGCAACGCCGCGUGGAGGAUGACGCAUUUCGGUGUGUAAACUCCUUUUAUGAGUCAAGAAAAUGACGGUAGCUCAUGAAUAAGCACCGGCUAACUCCGUGCCAGCAGCCGCGGUAAUACGGAGGGUGCAAGCGUUACUCGGAAUCACUGGGCGUAAAGGACGCGUAGGCGGGAUGUCAAGUCAGGUGUGAAAUCCUAUGGCUCAACCAUAGAACUGCACUUGAAACUGGCAACCUAGAGUAUGGGAGGGGGAGAUGGAAUUAGUGGUGUAGGGGUAAAAUCCGUAGAUAUCACUGGGAAUACCGAAAGCGAAGGCGAUCUCCUGGAACAUUACUGACGCUAAAGCGUGAAAGCGUGGGGAGCAAACAGGAUUAGAUACCCCUGUAGUC